rnacentral:lncRNA from 1 species
UUUCUCUAGUGGCCAGCAACGUUGAACAUUUCUUGCUGGGACCAAAGGAUAUGAACUAAUAUUUUACUACUCUGGAGAGCAGGGUGUGUGACUGGGGUCCCGUGGUCCUGAGGCUGGUGUGACCUUGCUUUAGGAACAGACAAGUACGCGGAAGGCUGCCUGGCUCCUGGCUGUGCAGAGGAGGCAACCACAGCAUCCCUAAGGCAAGAUAACAUCUGCAGAGGACAAUCUGAAGAAUGUGGGUGUAUCGAGAGGGAGAAGGACUUGUUCUCCACUAGCUUGUUCCCUACCCACUGCAGUUCCUGUCCCAUCAAACACACACCAUCCCUUCUGCUGAGUGCCUCGCAGGCUAGGAAAAAUGUGAGUCCUCUGUCUGAGGGACUUCAUUUGUCUUUUGAGGAAAGCAGCUGGAUCCGAUUUGUUGAGGACUGUCCCACCCCACCCCCCGGUCAGGCCUCUGGCCUAGGACUCUGGUAACAACUGCUCUUC